GGGUUCGACCAACUUUUGGUUAUCGCUGCUGGUGGAGUUUGAGGAUGGGGAUGGCGAUAUCGGAUCCAUGCACAUUAAACAAGCGGGUUCGACGCAAUGGUUACAAAUGAAUCACGUAUGGGGAGCAAGCUGGUGCAUCGUGCAGGGACCUCUUCAUGGGCCGUUUUCGGUGAAGUUAACGACUUUGUCGACGAAGAAGACACUUUCGGCGAGGGAUGUGAUACCUAAGAAUUGGUCUCCCAAGGCGACCUAUACCUCGCGUCUCAAUUUUAUAUAGUGU
rnacentral:misc_RNA from 1 species